GGGGCUGCCUUGUGGCGGGGGGGGUUUCCCCGCGGGGAGAUGGCGCUGCGCUGCCAGUGACAAACGCGCAGGCUGCUCCGCGGUGAGACCUGCGGGCUGCCGAGUUCCAGCGCCCGAGGGAAGAAUAGUUGCUCUGUAGCUGCUGUGCUGCAGGCGGGAGGAUGACAGCGGCUUGUGAGAGCACGUCCAGGGACGGAGCUUGCGGCUGCGUAGCGCCCGGGUAGAGCCUAGUGCUGGCCGCAGGGCCGCACUGCCCCGACGGUGCAGCCUUGCAGCCCGGGGCCGGUCUGCGUUUGCUCAUGGCAGAGCUGGAGCUGUAGGUCACGGAGUUGCUCACAGCCAUCGUGAAGAUUUGCCACACUUCUUGCUCAAGCAUGGAGUACAGUCUGCUGAGAGCCACGCUGAACUCCUGGUGGAUUUGCACAGAUGGCACGAGGCUGCUGUGACGGUGAAGAUGGAUCGUCCAUUGAAGGAAUGCCUUAAAACUGCCUCACGUUUGCCACGUGGUUCUCCUGGCAUUUUGCAGUGCGGCGCUAGCAGAUGAGCGUUGUUUUGGGUGCUUGUUGUCUCCUGCAGUAAUCAAGCCUUUAAGAGAAUAAAUGGCUACCGCCUGACAGCCUCCCGUUUCAGUAAUAGUAUUUGUAACGAGGUGUUUCAUUGCUUCUGAGAGAGUUUUUACAGUUUAAAAUGGGUACAGAGGAGAGAUGUAUUAAGCGUUCAGCAUCUGACACUUUCUGAUUUCUGGUGGUACGAGCAUUGGCAGUAAUUCCAGCACUUCCUUUCAGCCGCAUGGCAUUUUAGUGCACUGUGAUUUAUGGCAGUGAUACAGAAAUAUUUCAUAUCCAAACUGCUCUAGUAUAUCAUGUUAUACAGGUAAAAAGAAUUCUGGGCAUGACAUACAUAAUAAGAAUGCUUUAUGGGCCUGUAGGCACUUUCAUCAAUGUUAACUGCUUGACAGUUGCCAGAAUGAAACUUGAGGUGAGUAUUGUGUUCUGUAAGGCUGCAGGAGCUGAGCUUUUAUCUUUAUUUCCUCGCUUUGAAAUGGGUCUGUGAUUCUCAGAUCUGAACGACUGGACGUGUGUCAUCAUUACCAGCCUCAGCCUCGGUCCAUACUGUUUCAGAAGUACUUCUCUCGAGUUCUGAUCUAUCGUGGGUAGAGCCAUAUAUCUGAAGCCAAACUUUAAUCCCAUAAAGACUUAAGAAAUGACACCACUUCAUCUUGGGCACUGUCUGCGUUAUAAUAAAGUUAAAAGCUGUAGAGUAGCAGGGCAGUGGUGAUGGCGUGCAGCUCUAAGAGACCACAGUUAAAAAAGACAGCAGUUUGAGGUCCACGAACUGUAAGUCACUGUAUAUGGCCUCCAUGAAUAAUGAAGAAAUAAGUUUAUGGGGAGUUUUGUUUGCUUUUUUUUUUUUUUUUUUUUUUUUUGUCUUUUCCUUUGUGUAACUUCAGAAAAAUUGAGUGUACCAUAGCUGCUGUCUCUUCUAUUAAAUCACUUGUAAAAUGGCUUAGACUUCUCCUGUCAUCCGGUGCACUUAUGCAAAAUGAAUGCGUCCUAUGCUCUAGAUAAGUGUCUUCCUUUGGCUGAAUAGUUUUUAAGCUUUUUAAAUGUUGUAUCCAAGCACAAUUUGAAGUGUCAUCCUUUCCACUCUAAUGGUCAAAGCAUUUAUUUAGGUGAUACUGGCAACGUGUUUUCAAAAUAUUACAGCUGGAGACCGGACCGGGUUUGCUUUGAGCCCAUUUGUUUACAGGAUAGCAUAGCUAUCUGUAAUUGCACAUCUCACUGCAGUGAGCAUUUAGCACAUAGUCACUCAUUUGAGUCUGUUCUACAUGCAGCCUGCAGUUGCUUAAAAUUCCAUAGGGGGAAAAAAAGAAAAAGAAGGAGAGAAGCUGUAGCAGUAAUGUCUAUCUGUAAGGAGGUGUGCAGUCAGUUUUCUUUUCUUUUCAAAGCAACGGAGUUAAAACUUCUUAAUGGCAUCUCAGAAUCGUGGUGGUGUAUUUUCUUACUGCUCUGAUUAUUAGAAUAAACACAGGACCAGUCGUAAAUCAGUCCCUGUGUCUGAGAACGCUGUGAUUAUUUCUAGUCCAGUCGUGCCCAGAGGUGGAGAUCAGGAGAUGCAGUUUGCAGCUCCGGGCUCAUAGGAGAAAAGAGGAGAGGAUUCCUUCCUUUAAAAUCUGAACGAGAAGUUCAGGAAGUUGUGAAGCAACGUCCUGUCUCAUGUAAAGAAUUGAUCCGAAGUUGCCAUUUGCUUCUGAAUUUUUUAGUCGUUGUUAAAUAAUACCGAAUAAUCUUUUUUGGGUUUGUUUGUUUGUUUUUUUCAUCAUAGGGG
ensembl:lncRNA